CCUACGGGGGCUGCAGUGGGGAAUAUUGGACAAUGGGGGGAACCCUGAUCCAGCCAUGCCGCGUGUGUGAAGAAGGCCCUCGGGUUGUAAAGCACUUUCAGUGAGGAAGAACGCCUGGUGGUUAAUACCCAUCAGGAAAGACAUCACUCACAGAAGAAGCACCGGCUAACUCCGUGCCAGCAGCCGCGGUAAUACGGAGGGUGCGAGCGUUAAUCGGAAUUACUGGGCGUAAAGCGCGCGUAGGUGGCUUGAUAAGCCGGUUGUGAAAGCCCCGGGCUCAACCUGGGAACGGCAUCCGGAACUGUCAAGCUAGAGUGCAGGAGAGGAAGGUAGAAUUCCCGGUGUAGCGGUGAAAUGCGUAGAGAUCGGGAGGAAUACCAGUGGCGAAGGCGGCCUUCUGGACUGACACUGACACUGAGGUGCGAAAGCGUGGGUAGCAAACAGGAUUAGAUACCCCAGUAGUC
rnacentral:rRNA from 1 species